UUUAGUACACUACUAAACUUUAGGAGUUUGUAUCCAAACAUGGCCUAACUAGAGCUAAAAAAAAGGUUGUUUGGUUCACAUCACGCCAACACAAGGAUGGAUCAAUUUUUUCGACGAAGGGUUCACCCACCUGCAUUUCAUCCUCGAGGCGGCGCUGAAAUGAACUCUCGUAUGGGCGCACCAUUAAUUGGCUCCUAUCCAAACACACUUGAGUGCUUCAGUAAACGGCCAAGAUAUUGGAAGGCCUGG
rnacentral:lncRNA from 1 species